rnacentral:rRNA from 1 species
GUAGCGGCGAGCGAAGCGGGAAGAGCUCAAAUUUAUAAUCUGGCACCUUCGGUGUCCGAGUUGUAAUCUCUAGAAGUGUUUUCCGCGUUGGACCGCACACAAGUCUGUUGGAAUACAGCGGCAUAGUGGUGAAACCCCCGUAUAUGGUGCGGACGCCCAGCGCUUUGUGAUACACUUUCAAUGAGUCGAGUUGUUUGGGAAUGCAGCUCAAAUUGGGUGGUAAAUUCCAUCUAAAGCUAAAUAUUGGCGAGAGACCGAUAGCGAACAAGUACCGUGAGGGAAAGAUGAAAAGCACUUUGGAAAGAGAGUUAACAGUACGUGAAAUUGUUGGAAGGGAAACGCUUGAAGUCAGACUUGCUUGCCGGAGCUUGCUUCGGUUUGCAGGCCAGCAUCAGUUUUCCGGGGUGGAUAAUGACGGUUUGAAGGUAGCAGUCUCGGCUGUGUUAUAGCUUUCCGUUGGAUACGCCCUGGGGGACUGAGGAACGCAGCGUGCUUUUUGCGAAAGACUCGUCUUUUUCACGCUUAGGAUGCUGGUGGAAUGGCUUUAAACGACC